rnacentral:rRNA from 1 species
GAUGAACGCUGGCGGCGUGCCUAAUACAUGCAAGUCGAGCGAAUUGACAGAGGUGCUUGCACCUCUCGAUUUUAGCGGCGGACGGGUGAGUAACACGUGGGUAACCUACCUAUAAGACUGGGAUAACUUCGGGAAACCGGAGCUAAUACCGGAUAAUAUUUAGCUUCGCAUGAAGCAAUAGUGAAAGGCGGUUCUGCUGUCACUUAUAGAUGGACCUGCGGUGUAUUAGCUAGUUGGUGAGGUAACGGCUCACCAAGGCAACGAUACAUAGCCGACCUGAGAGGGUGAUCGGCCACACUGGGACUGAGACACGGCCCAGACUCCUACGGGAGGCAGCAGUAGGGAAUCUUCCGCAAUGGACGAAAGUCUGACGGAGCAACGCCGCGUGAGUGAAGAAGGUUUUCGGAUCGUAAAACUCUGUUGUAAGGGAAGAACAAGUACGUUAGUAACUGAACGUACCUUGACGGUACCUUACCAGAAAGCCACGGCUAACUACGUGCCAGCAGCCGCAGUAAAAC